AGUGAACGCUGGCGGUAUGCCUAACACAUGCAAGUCGAACGGCAGCACAGUAAGAGCUUGCUCUUACGGUUGGCGAGUGGCGGACGGGUGAGGAAUACAUCGGAAUCUACUUUUUCGUGGGGGAUAACGUAGGGAAACUUACGCUAAUACCUCAUACGACCUACUGGUGGAAGCAGGGGAUCUUCGGACCUUCCGCGAUUGGAUGGGCCGAUGUCGGAUUAGCUAGUUGGCGGGGUAAUGGCCCACCAAGGCGACGAUCCGUAGCUGGUCUGAGAGGAUGAUCAGCCACACUGGAACUGAGACACGGUCAAGACUCCUAAGGGAGGCAGCAGUGGGGAAUAUUGGACAAUGGGGGCAAGCAUGAUCCAGCCAUCCCGCGUGGGUGAAGAAGGCCUUCGGGUUGUAAAGACGUUUUGUUGGGAAAGAACAGCAGCAGGUUAAUACCCAGCUGUUCUGACGGUACCCAAAGAAUAAGCACCGGCUAACUUCGUG
rnacentral:rRNA from 1 species